CCAAGAAAGAAUCUUACCUAAGACACUUACUGUGUGGCCAGCCAUAGGGUUAUUAUGAGCUUAAAGAACUUUGUAAAUGUAACUGGUUAUUAUAUUAUUCUACCCCAAAGCCACACACACGGAGGGGUUCUCUCAUAGAUAGAGAGGUGGGUUGGAAUGUGGAGAGAGCUAAUGGGUCCCUGGAGCACUCUGGAGGGUGGUUGGCAGGACGGGUUUAAGUAUGGGAGGGGCUCACCGGGGGAAGCAGGAGAAUGCGGGUACCACUCAGGAAGGAGUGGGUCAAGGGCAAAGUCCCUGCCACACAGACAGACCACAUGAUCCUGGGCAUGGCAAGCCAAGUCACCGAGAGCAAAGCCAGUGAUAGGGCCAGGCUUGUCCUGGGGCCAGGAUUGGGCAAAAGCAACAUCUGCCUCUGGUUGAGAAAACAAACAAUCCGGCUCAGGAAGAGGAGGUGAGAAUUGGUGAACAAGGUGGAAGUCCCCUGAAGGGGCAGAGUCAUGGAGCUGUCCAGAGCCUCUCCGCAUGGCUGGGGCAGCCCCUGGAAGAGGUUCCUGCUCACAGGUAUCCUGCUCAGCUUCUGGGGGCCACCCAGAAUCUGCUCAGAUCUUCACCGCCACUGUCCCAAACCGCCCCAUGGAAGGAGAUGACGUGAUUCUGACCGCCCCGAACGCCCCAGACAGGAUCCUCAAUGCCAGCUGGCACUCAGGGUUCCAGCCCUCGGAUCCUGACACGAUCACCAGCUGCAUCCCCACUGCCCAGGCAGGCCCCUGCACCCAGCGCCUAGGUCCUGCCCACACCAGGAGGGAGGCUCUGACAAGCUGGAACACAUUGGGAAUCAGAAACCUCACUCCCUCCGACACUGGCUUUUACUCCCUGGUGCUGAACACUGACUCAGGCCUGGAGAAGGCAUCCCCCUACAUCCAUGUCUGGCGCCCACGGGGUAAGUAGAGUCUGCAGUGGCCAUGGGCUGGUAGCAUCUACCCACAGUCCCUGAAGGAGGGAGCUCCCUGGAGCCUCUGUUACCUUCAUAGAAUGGAAGAUGCUUGAAGACAAGGACCUUUUCACUUUUUUUUCCCCAAUGCCUAACACAAAGCCUGGCACAUAGUAGGGCUUCAUGAAUUCUUGCUGAAUCUGGCUCAGAAGAACCAUGGUUCUAAUCCUGUGUCUGAUGCUCACAGCCCAGUGACAUUAGGUGAGUGCCUUCCUUUCCUGGGCCUCAGUUUCCCCCUAUGUAAAAUGGGGAGAACCCAACGAUAUCUAAAGCCCCCUUAUAUCUCCAAUCUCACAUAAUCCCUCCUCCUCACCCCAGGAGACAAGGGUGAAAGUGGGAGGAAGGACAACCCCUCUGGAAUGGGUUGCUUUGAGGGGGGAGGGGUCUGGGCACAGCCCCACUUCUCAGGGAGAAGGGAAAUAUACCCAGAAAGAUGGAAGACACGAGAGAAUUGUGCACGGGUAACGUGAAGUGUGAUGAGGGCUCAAAGGAAGAAGAGGAGAGGCUGGAGAUGAGGCAUUCAUGAGGGCAUCCUGGAGCACACCUAAACUGAGGCCAUCUUUUCUAACCCCUUUAUUUUACAGAAGGGGAUACUGAGGCCAGAGAAGUGAAGUGACUAACCCAAGGUCAUAUGUAGGAUCAUGGAGCUAGGGGCCACCUAGCCCAACCCCCACCCUCAUUCUGUAGAGGCCCCAAGUGACUUUCCCAAAGUCACACAGGCAGUGAAUGAGAUGAGAUUUGAACCUGGGGCCCAUGACUUCCACCCAAUGCUUCUAUUCCAUAUCUCACUCCUCCACCGCUUCUCCCCCUAGAGUUUCUUCUAAUACCAGACAUCUCGGCCAACAUGAAUGUUGCUGUGGAGAACGUGGACUGAGUGGUCUUCACCUGUCACACCAAUGAAGCCAACAUCAGGGUCCUCUGGUAUAAUGGCGGCUGGCUGCUGCAGGGGGGAGGGCG
rnacentral:lncRNA from 1 species